ACUAACUAAUUGAUGUGUUAAUUGGUUAGAGUUUCUUAGUGUUAGUUAAAGCUAUUGUUAGUUUCUUAGGUUGUUAAUUUUAAUAGAAUAUAAUUCUGAUGUGUAUAUAAACACUUAAUCAUUCAAUAAUGUAAUCAAGCUAUUUUGCAUUUCUUCUCUUUUGAGCAUACUCUGUUCUUUCAUCUUCUUCUUCUGUUUUGUUUCUUUAUGGUAUUAGAGCACUUGACUUGCGUCAAUGGCUUCCUCCGAUGACCACUCAUCUCAAGUUGGAGCCUCUGAUCCUGUUGUUGUGCCAACUCUGUCCUCCUCAAUGACACAACCAUGGAACCCCUUCUCAAACUCUUUGACAGCUUCGCUUAUCUUGAAACUCGAUUGCACGAAUUUCUUUUCCUAGAAAUCGCAAGUCAUACCUACUGUUAUAGGUCAUGAUCUUGAUGAGUUACUCUUCGGUAACAAUGCUCCUCCUUCAAAACUCAUCAAUAGCGAUGACAAUCCCCUGUUCUUGCAAUGGCAUCGCAAAGAUCAACUAUUGUUGUCCUGGCUCCGAUCUUCAAUGACUGAAGGAAUCUUGGCUAUAGUUGCUUGCUACCCCACAUCGAAUUCCGUUUGAAAGGCUUUGGAACAAAAAUUUAUAAGUCAGUCCAAGGCAAGACUCCUUCAACUCAAAAGCCAGUUAACAAAUCUGCAGAAAGGUAAUUUGUCCAUUUUUGAUUAUGUUGACAAGAUCAAAUCCGUGUGUGAUUCUUUGGCUAUUGCUGGACAUCAUGUAAAUGAUUUUGAUCUCAUUUUACACCUGAUUAAUGGACUUAGUCCCAAGUUUAACUCUGUUGUCUCCUGUAUUAACUCUCGAAGUGAAACUCUUUCACUUGAAGAAGUUCAAGCUCUCUUGAUGUCUCAUGAGUCAAAAUUGGAAAGACACUCCACUGUCUUGGAUCUUUCAACAAAAAUGGCAGCCAAUCUUACCUUGGGAUCAAGAAGUGGUACAUACAGACCUUUUAAUGGCUCUAGAAGAGGUCAAGGUUCUGAAAAUGUGCCAAGAUUCCUAAAUUGAAGAAAUGGAUCUCGACCUACCAACAAUAACAAACCUCUUUGUCAAGUGUGCAUGAGAUUUGCGCAUACUGUUGUCACUUGCCACUAUAGGUUUGAUCAAAAUUGGGUUACUCCAAAAACUUCUACUACUCAGCCACAAGCCAAUCUCACAGAGCAGUCUCUUGACUACGAUCCUCAGGCCUUUGUUGCUCAAAUUGUGCUAGAUUUUUGUGAUGAUGUUGGGUGGUAUGUGGAUUCAGGUGCAACCAAUCAUAUUGCACACUCAAUGGACAAUCUUGAGUAUGUCACUCCCUACACUGUUCAAGAAACAAUUGUUGUUGCUAAUGGUAAGAAAUUUGUCAUUUCUAACAUUGGUACAACUACUCUUUCCUUAAAUUCUCAUUCUUUACAUUUGAAUUCAGUUUUGUAAAUUCCUUCCAUAACUAAAAAGCUUGGUUAGUGUAUCCAAACUUAGUAAUGACAAUGAUGUUUUCUUAGAAUUUCAUAAAGUGUGUUAAGGACAAGAAAAAGGGUGCAAUCUUGCUUAAAAGGAAAAUCAAAGAUGGUCUCUAUCACCUAGGAGAUGAUAGCUCGAGUCUUUCCAAUAAAGCUCUGCAGGUGCAUCUUGCAACUUCAGACAUUCAAUCCAAGUCUAUGUUGAGUCAUUCUAAGUCUUGUAAUCAUUGUUGUACUCAGGUUGAUACUUCAACCUUUUCUUGUACUAAACAGAAUAAUAAAGGGCCAUCUAUUGUCUA